UGUGAAGGGUNCACUCUGCUCUUUAAGUGGU
rnacentral:piRNA from 1 species